rnacentral:lncRNA from 1 species
AUGUGGAGGAGAGCUUGUUCCAGGCAUCCAGCCCAGAUCCUGCAGAAGAAAAGUCUUCCUUCCUCCUACUGGACAGCAAGCAGGAUUCAGACAUUGAGUCAUCAGGCAAAGUGGCUCAGUGCGAUGGAUUUUCCUGUGUCUUGCUACCUCUCCAGCAGAAGUCCAGGCUGCAGAGAGCACACCAACUGUGUAACAUCCCAGAUCUCCUGGCUCCAGAAGGCCUGUAUGAUUGCCACCAGGAGAGUGGAUGGGCAGGAGGCAAAGCUGUGACACGACCGUGUAGAGUGGAGGUUUGGUGCAGCUGGGAGCUCCUGAGGUAGAACAACCUUGUGGUGCAUGUGGAGUUCCUGGCACUUCUUACUCCAGACACAAGAGCUUGACUGCCAGUUUCCUGGGGAAAUACUGGUAGUGGGAUGUUCGUAGCCUUUGGUGGGAAUGAAGGUCACAGUAUUCUCUCUUUUUUUAAAGUUUUUUUGUUGUUGUUUUUUCCUUUGAUUUUGGCAUUUGGAGGAGAUGCUCUGUCACAAACUGGUAAUUCUCAUUAAGAUUGGAGACAUUGUAAUGUAAUCAGUGGACAGACUCAUGGACCAUUGUGGUAGGUCAGAGAAGACUAGAAAGCUUCGUAUUUUAUUUACCACAUUUCAACAGACAUAAGCUGAUGCUAUAGGUAGACUUUUUAAAUGAGGUUGCCCUUGAGAGGAUGCAAUAUUUUUGUCUUAUUUCUCUCUGUCAUCAGCCAGAGGGAUAAAGCCCAAAGAGAGCUCCUUGGUACAUGCAAUUUGUCUGAACUUCAGGCCUUGCUCACUAAGGAUGGCCUAUUGCCCAGUCCUGUGUGACAGGACUGUGCCUGAUCUCAUGUGGUCCUAGUGAACAAGGGUAGCCUGUAUGAAAAUUUAUGUAUGGGGCAAUUCUGCUUGUGGAGUCUGAGUGUGCUGUCUGCAAGAAGAACAGCUGCCCCAUUUUGAAAUGGCUUCUCUUUUUGCUUAUCAGUGUCCCGCUGUGGUAGGUAAUCCACACAGUUAAAUAUUGGUUGGCUUUCAGGUCUACUCCUUGCCAGCAGCUUUUCUAUAUAAGGUUAAUACAGUUGCCUUGCACUUGUCAAACCGGAAAACAAAUGUGGUAACAAAUAAAGGUUUUUUUGCACUGUACA